GUUUUUUUUUUAAUUUCCCUGUCACAAAAUAAAAAUAUUAACAAAUAUCCACUGGUGUUUUGUAAAAAAAACCUGGCUAGGAUUUAUUUAUAAAUGAUCAUUAGCUCUCGCCAGUUCCUGUUCCCUAUUGCAAUAUGAAGGCAACUAGUGUUUAGGCUACUCAUGUUUCGUGUAAUACAAAAGUACGCCAUGUGCAAUAAUACUUCGACCAGUUGGUCAAGUGAAACAAUCCUCUAUGUCCUGCAGCUGUGAUAUCGAAUGAAACAUUCUGGCCUGUCCUCUGAAUCCGUGUUUAUCUGGGUUUUUAUGGUUAGUCGAGUGACUUUGUUGUUGUUUUUUUUUGGACCAUGCUAAAUCAUCAUGCAAACCGUUGUAAGUGUCUAUAAAAGUACUUGCAUGUAUUUACUUUUUUCAAAUUAAACAAAAAUUUAAUUAUAUUUUUAAAAUUCUUUUUCGUGUAAAAGAUAAAAAAGAUUCACAAUUUCAAAAUUUUGUAUUUAAAGUCAUUUCAUUGUUAGUCUCCCCUUAACGACAUUUUAAAACAAAAAGUUGUCAUUAUUUCAUGCCCAAUACACUGCUGAAAUAGUAAACUAAAUAAAUCAACAGGUAUCUAUUUCGACGUCACAAUGAAAAGUCAUCAUCUAACACAGACAAAUAUUUUAAAACCAUCAUCUAACACAGGCAAUUAUUUUAGUCAUCAUUUAACGCAUACACUUAUUUAAAAGUCAUCAUCUAACACAGACAAUUAUUUAAAAGUCAUCAUCUAACACAGACAAUUAUUUUAAAGUCAUCAUCUAACACAGAC